UACGGAGGGUGCAAGCGUUAUCCGGAUUUAUUGGGUUUAAAGGGUCCGUAGGCGGACUCGUAAGUCAGUGGUGAAAUCUCAUAGCUUAACUAUGAAACUGCCAUUGAUACUGCGGGUCUUGAGUAAGGUAGAGGUAGCUGGAAUAAGUAGUGUAGCGGUGAAAUGCAUAGAUAUUACUUAGAACACCAAUUGCGAAGGCAGGUUACCAUGUCUUAACUGACGCUGAUGGACGAAAGCGUGGGGAGCGAAC
rnacentral:rRNA from 1 species